rnacentral:tRNA from 1 species
GGUAGGGUGGCCGAGCGUCCAGGCGGUGGGUUGUAGCCCCGUGAACAGAGGUUUAAGUCCUCUCCCUAUCA